GAUGAACGCUGGCGGCGUGCCUAAUACAUGCAAGUCGAGCGAACGGACGAGAAGCUUGCUUCUCUGAUGUUAGCGGCGGACGGGUGAGUAACACGUGGAUAACCUACCUAUAAGACUGGGAUAACUUCGGGAAACCGGAGCUAAUACCGGAUAAUAUUUUGAACCGCAUGGUUCAAAAGUGAAAGACGGUCUUGCUGUCACUUAUAGAUGGAUCCGCGCUGCAUUAGCUAGUUGGUAAGGUAACGGCUUACCAAGGCAACGAUGCAUAGCCGACCUGAGAGGGUGAUCGGCCACACUGGAACUGAGACACGGUCCAGACUCCUACGGGAGGCAGCAGUAGGGAAUCUUCCGCAAUGGGCGAAAGCCUGACGGAGCAACGCCGCGUGAGUGAUGAAGGUCUUCGGAUCGUAAAACUCUGUUAUUAGGGAAGAACAUAUGUGUAAGUAACUGUGCACAUCUUGACGGUACCUAAUCAGAAAGCCACGGCUAACUACGUGCCAGCAGCCGCGGUAAUACGUAGGUGGCAAGCGUUAUCCGGAAUUAUUGGGCGUAAAGCGCGCGUAGGCGGUUUUUUAAGUCUGAUGUGAAAGCCCACGGCUCAACCGUGGAGGGUCAUUGGAAACUGGAAAACUUGAGUGCAGAAGAGGAAAGUGGAAUUCCAUGUGUAGCGGUGAAAUGCGCAGAGAUAUGGAGGAACACCAGUGGCGAAGGCGACUUUCUGGUCUGUAACUGACGCUGAUGUGCGAAAGCGUGGGGAUCAAACAGGAUUAGAUACCCUGGUAGUCCACACCGUAAACGAUGAGUGCUAAGUGUUAGGGGGUUUCCGCCCCUUAGUGCUGCAGCUAACGCAUUAAGCACUCCGCCUGGGGAGUACGACCGCAAGGUUGAAACUCAAAGGAAUUGACGGGGACCCGCACAAGCGGUGGAGCAUGUGGUUUAAUUCGAAGCAACGCGAAGAACCUUACCAAAUCUUGACAUCCUUUGACAACUCUAGAGAUAGAGCCUUCCCCUUCGGGGGACAAAGUGACAGGUGGUGCAUGGUUGUCGUCAGCUCGUGUCGUGAGAUGUUGGGUUAAGUCCCGCAACGAGCGCAACCCUUAAGCUUAGUUGCCAUCAUUAAGUUGGGCACUCUAAGUUGACUGCCGGUGACAAACCGGAGGAAGGUGGGGAUGACGUCAAAUCAUCAUGCCCCUUAUGAUUUGGGCUACACACGUGCUACAAUGGACAAUACAAAGGGCAGCGAAACCGCGAGGUCAAGCAAAUCCCAUAAAGUUGUUCUCAGUUCGGAUUGUAGUCUGCAACUCGACUACAUGAAGCUGGAAUCGCUAGUAAUCGUAGAUCAGCAUGCUACGGUGAAUACGUUCCCGGGUCU
rnacentral:rRNA from 1 species